CUUAACUUCAUCGAUACCGUGGUAAUUAUUCUACCCACUCUAUCUUCUAUGUUCUCUUUGAUUUUUCAUCGGUACAAAUUAGUUUUCUCUCUAAAUAUUUUCCUAAUCUUGUUUUGGCAGUGUUCAAAAUUUUCAGUAAGUAGCUUGUGCCAUAGGCAUACAAAGCGAGAGGUUGUAUCUGCUAGCUCAAGCUAACAUAUUUCGCCAAAGUAGAUAACAUCAAUUUUCCGAGUUGGGAUUUCAAAUACUGCUUUUCAAAUCUCAAGAAUGUUAAAAUUAUCGGCUGCCUUUAUGACAUGGUUGGAGGCGUGGUCUGAAGCAGAGUUUUGUAAGCUUUUCGAACCUUUGAGGUUUAUAUUAAAGAAUACAGUGGUUUUGCAAAAGUUUGUUAUCAUAACAAUUAAACAAGUGUGAGUUCCGGCAUUCAUAACGAUUGACUAAGAAAUUGUUAGAUAGUCAAAAAUCAUCAACAAAUUUCGUGAUUGUUUAUCAAGAGAUUGCUUAGCCAACCAUUAUAAAUAAUCACGAAAUUUGUCCUAGUGUUUCUGGCCGCUGCAACAAAUACAUAUUUAUUAACAAAAUAUAAGGUGUAUCUAGCGAUUCAGAGUUGUUUUUUGUAGUAGUGUUCUUAUUAGGAUCAUUGUGUAUGAACUACAACUGAAUUAGAGUUGAGUUUUGAUAAGAAAAGUUGGAAGCUGUGGGCAUGCUAAUUGAAAAACCGCAAGUAUCGACUAUCGUGAAACAAGCACUUGAUAGUUGAUCCUGAUCUUGUGGGGUUGGUCUUAAAUAUCUCAGGGUACUUAGGCUAUAAU
rnacentral:lncRNA from 1 species